ensembl:lncRNA
GGAAGCCUGAGUCUCCGGUACAGCCUCCUGCUUGGCCACAGAUGUUCCCUGUCAUCAAUCAUUGAGGGCAUCUGUUUGCUGUGCCGCUUGUUUAAAGAGCGAGGCGUUUGCUAAUUGAAAACUAAAAGAUCCAUCCGUCUCACUCAGAGCCAGCAUGAAAUCCACUCAGCCAUGCAAGACCAGGGUGGAAAAGGCAGCACAGAGCUACCGCUAACGUAUCUUCAGGUUGGCGCACCCCACGGAAGUCAUCUCCUGUUUCCUGAGCAAGCCUGGCUCCCCUCCUCACCUCGAAGCAGCCAGGGGCUGCCCAUGCUACCGUUUAUCUAAUACUUCCUCAUCUAUUAUCCCCAGUGUAGUCCAGAGAGAAAGGGAAAGUUGGCUGCCAUGUCAUCAGGAUGUUCAAGCAGCUCUGUGGAAGGGUCUACAUGGUAAGGGACUGAAGCCUCCUGCCAACAGCCAUGUGAAUGAACCAUCUUGGAAGCCCAUCUUCCCUCCCCAGACAAGCCUUCAAGUGACCAUGGCCACUGCCAAGGUCUUAACCACGACCUUUUGAAAGACCCUGAGCCAGAACCACCUGACUGAGCUGCCUGAAUUCCUGACCCACAGGAGCUAUGAGAUAAUAAAUUUU